GAGCGUUACAUGGGGAAUCAGUUCUCGGUUGGUUCCGACAAGGACUGGAUGGAGCAACACCUGCGAGGCUGCUGCUAUGUUGCUGUGUUUGUCGUCUUGCACCUCGACGUGUUUGCCCUCGUGUGCUGUGGUUUGCUCAUUAUAAGUACCAGUGUUUGCUCCCCGAAUGUGUCCAAGAUAAACCCGGCAGUGCGGUGGUCGCGUCUCGCCAGAAUGAAAGGCUAACACUUCAUAUUUGCAGGAUUGAGCUGGCGUAAUUGGUAUGCAGUCGCCCAGGUGUCAAGAGAUUAGUCAAUAUUUUAUUUAUACUGGCGGUGUUUGUGUUUGCAAGAUUAAGCAGGGAGGGAAUAUUGUGCUGAAUGAAAGGAAGGGGAAGGGAGGUAGAGAGAAAGAGAGAGAGAGUUGUGAAUGCAAAGUGAUAUGAGAAGGGAAGAAGAAAUUGACUGGGGGUAAUUGAGAUUGUCCGUGUGAAUGUGCAGUAUAUAAGAACGGUGAUUGGAAUAGACAGGGGCACUUGAAUUGGCGUAUAAGUUUCCUGUAUGUGAAAAGUAAAGAAAAGGAUUGAAAUAGAUCGUGUAUCAAUUUGGAGUUUGAGAAAGUUGAUUGAAAUAAUAGGCCUAUUUUGAGCCAGUUUGUCAAUUUGUAUGAAAAGUUGAAAUUGACACGUGUUCUUGAGGUAGCGUGUCAAUUUUUAGUACGUGAGAAAAGGUCGUUGAAAUUGACAGAUAUUUGAAAUAGUAGGUCAGUUUGGAGUGUGCGAAAAGGGUGAAUGAAACUGACACUAGUACGUGAGCUAGCGUGUCAAUUUGGAACAUUUGAAAAAGUUGUUGAAUUUGAUAGACUAACUUGAGCUAGGGUGUGAAUUUCGAAUAUGUGAAAAAAAAAAAGUUGAUUAGAAUUGACAGUGGUUUGAAUUAGUGCAAUUUUCGAGUAUGAGAAACAGGUGAUUGAAACUGUCAGUAGUAUUUGAGUUAGCGUGUCAGUUUGAAGCAAGUGAAGAAAAGUUGAUUGAAAUUGAUAGACGUACUCGAGUCAGUGUGUACCUGGAACAUAUAAAAAAGAUGACUGAUUGAGAUAAAUGACUGUUUAUUCCAUUUCUCUUUUAUAUAAACUCUACCUAAGGAACUCCAGCAACUCCUCACCUACGCAGAUUUCUCCCGUGAAAAUAAAAGCAAUUCGUUCACACCUAACCAAGCCUACCAUACGUUGAUCCUAACCUAAUUUAUCAUAGGGGCUAAUAUGUUAAGUAAAAUUUUUGUUGUGGAAAGUGUGUAGCUGGGGAAAACUUUACUUUCGAACUUGUGGUAUGCAUCUGAUAAUUGUGUUAAGUAAUUCUGUAUGCAGUGUAGAAUGAAGGCAACGUGGUGUGAUGCAAAUGUUAAAAAGAAAAAAAAUGAGAUAGUUGAACGUUGAUUUUUUUUUUUUUUUUUUUGUAAGAGAAAGUUUGGCCAAGAUCAGCGAAAAGGAAGAAAAAGAAAAAAAAGACCAACUCAGGUGCCAGUCCCUAAAGGAAAGAACCAAAUGGAUUAUGCAAAACUGGAGGAUAAGUGUCUUGAAAGAGUUGAAGUCGUAGGAAGGGGAAAAUACGGAGGCAAGCAGGGAGUUCCAGAGUUUACCAGUAAGUUGAAAGGAUAUAGCAUAGAGGAAGGAGACGAUGUGAUGGGAUGCUGAGGGGAGGAAAAAUGUGAGUCGGUAAGAGAAAAGAGUAGGCGGGAUGGGAUGCUGAGAUUGAAAGUAGUAAGGGAGGUGUGAGUAGAAAAGAACAUAACUUGUUAAGAGAAAGAAAUAGUGAAAGCUUGAGGAAAAAAAAAGAGAACAACAAAAAUAAAUGACAAUUCAUCACGUACAAGAAAAUACAAAUACAUGAAUAAAAAAAGUACAUUGCUGAGAGAAAAUAAAUAAGUGAUUAGACGUAGAGGCACGAAGAGAAAGGAUAUACUGUAGUUGAAAGGAGGCGAUCUACUGA